ensembl:lncRNA
AAAGCAUCCUGUUCACUGCAACACGCUCAGCCCGCUAACACUGUGAGGUGGUCACCAUUGCUGCCCCAUUUUACUGAUGGACAGAGGCAGAGAAUUAAUUUGCUUGAGCCCACACGGCAGAGGUGGUUCCAGGAUUGUGGGUGAUCAUCUCCCAACAGCAAGAGAUUAUGGAGAUCUCAUCUGCAGAAGAGGUGGAGAAAAUGGCAGAGGAAUCCUUCAAAUGGUGAGCAUCAUUAUGAAAAUCCUUUUGGAGAAGAGUAAUGUGUAAGUUCUGAGUGCAUUUCCAUCUGACCUCUAGCAUCCCCAACAACUCUUUUCCAGCACUAUUUCUAUAGCUAACAUGGAAGAAGCUCUGUAUUUUCACAGCAGAUCUUUUCAGUGUACUCAAAGAUGAUCGCAAAAUGGUCCCCAAACAGCUCACAGCAGACUCAGUCAACCCAGUGCUCUUCUGGUUCAUCAUGACCCUGAGCUUAAAUGGCCAUCACAAGGAUCUACUGGGUAGGUGGGAAGAGAAGGCCUGUUCUUCACUGCGGUCAGGAACUCUGCACAUCUGAAACUCACGCCAGACACUCUCCGUUGGAAUGACUGAAAAGGAACUGCCAGUUGUGCUUCGUUUUUGUUUUCACACCACUUGAGCCAACAAACUUGGGAUCUAGUGGAAUCCAACUGUGGGACAAAUUGCUUAAACUACUGUUAUCCAAAAGAAUCAGAACCAAUCUUCAUCUGUAAAUAAUUUUCUUCUCUCUAGUCACCUGUGUGAAACAAAAUAAUACACUAUAUUAAAAAAAAAAAAGACACCUUUUUUUAAAGACAGUGGGUCUGUAUAUGUACCCUCCCUACCCUUUGCAAGAUCCAGGGCAAAUGCUGGGAUCUUUCUUUAAAUGCCCAUUUAUACAGUAUGUUAUACAGGAGGCCCUUUUAAAAAAGACAUGUUUGUAUUCUUCAAGCAAUAAAAAAU